GGGCCCGGUAUGGAGGUGGGCUAGAGGCCGACGCCAGCCAGAGAGCGAAAUGUUCUUUUGGGGCCAGAGUCUGGGCAUAUAUGAAUGCAAAUCCGUGUUUGUUCACAACUAAGCCCAGCUGAGACGAUCACUUUUCUGUAGGCCAUUUGUCCAGGUAAUAAUUUUUUUUUUUAGCAGGAGUUCAGAGCACCAAGGUAAGUGCAAUGAUGGAAACAUGUGCAGAGUCCUAAAGGGACAGAGAAGAAGGUCAUCAGAGACAGACUGGAAGAGAGGACGGGUCGGACAGGCCCCCCCCCAGACGUGAUGACACUCAGGAAGGGCUUGCACACUGGUUGUUCUCAAAUCCAGCUUUCUCUUCGAAUCUUAGUGGAGUUCUUUAAAAGGGAAACAGUUUUAUCCAUAGGAUAAAGUAUUUUUUAAGUUCCUGAGGUAAGUCUGAUGUGCAUUCACAGUUAAGUACCAGGCAGAGGUAGGAGGGUGGGUUUCCAAGGCCAGUGGAAGAGCUUCCAUAAAGGCAGGGAAUACCAGUCACCAUGAAUGGUUUUAGGAAGAGCAAGUCAAGGGAGGUAAGUGUGGAGGAAAGAGAUGAUGUGGAAGCUGGAUCAUCGCGGGCCUUGUGUGUGUUGAGCUCAGCAAUUUGAAUUUUAUCCCAACAUUGGAGGAGGAGUCAUUUGUGCUUUGGAAGUCCAGUUUGGGGCUUUGGCCUCUGGCAGCAUUUUGGAGGAGGAAUUGGUGGCGAUCAAACAAGAGAUAGAUCAUUUAGGCUUCUUCAGUAAUCCAGGCAAAUGAUGAAAAUGCAUUGAACUAAGGCAGUGGCGGUUGCACUGAGAAGAAAGUAGAGAUGUAAUUAAGGGGUAGGCUCUGGAGCUCAGAGAUGGCGGCUGAGGGAGAAGGAGCGUAUAGGAUAAUUCCUAGGUUACUGGUUUGAAAAUUGAAUGUAUGGUAAUGUCAUCAACAAGGGAAUAUAGAACAAAUAACAGAUUUAAGGGAAGGACUUCAUUGGGUUCUGGUCAUGUUUACUUUGAGGUGCCCGUCAGAUAUGUGAGUAGAGAUACACUGUAUGCAGUUGGAUAUUGAAUAUAUCUGGAGUUCUAGGCUAGGCUGUCAGUUAUUGAGUAGGUGGAACAGUGCAUCAUUUCACUCAACCUCCGCAGUAGCUGGGACUACAGGUGCGUACCACCAUGCCCAGCUAAUUUUUAUAUUUUUAGUAGAUACGGGGUUUCACCAUGUUGGCCAGGAUGGUCUUGAGCUCUUGACCUCGUGAUCCCGCACGCCUCGGCCUCCCAGAGUGCUGGAAUUACAGGUGUGAGCCACUGC
rnacentral:lncRNA from 1 species